rnacentral:rRNA from 1 species
AUUGAACGCUGGCGGCAGGCCUAACACAUGCAAGUCGAGCGAGCGGCGGACGGGUGAGUAAUGUCUGGGGACUGCCCGAUAGAGGGGGAUAACUACUGGAAACGGUAGCUAAUACCGCAUACUAGCGGCUAACCCAUAUGGGAUUAGCUAGUAGGUGAGGUAAUGGCUCACCUAGGCGACGAUCCCUAGCUGAUCUGAGAGGAUGAUCAGCCACACUGGGACUGAGACACGGCCCAGACUCCUACGGAGGCAGCAGUGGGGAAUCUUGGACAAUGGGCGCAAGCCUGAUGCAGCCAUGCCGCGUGUAUGAAGAAGGCCCUCGGGUUGUAAAGUACUUUCGGUCGGGAGGCGUUACCGAAAGAAGAAGCACCGGCUAACUCCGUGCCAGCAGCCGCGGUAAUAC